UUUUUUCUACCCGGCGGCGACGCAGGAAGAACGCAAUUUGAUUUUGGAGUUUUUUGGCGUGGAGCGCGGCCGGGGAGUAUGCUUAGAAUUGCCCUUCCGUGGGGGUGGCCAUAACAAAGGGAGGUUAUUCCCAAUAAGCCUUAGGGCCAAAACAGGGGGCUUCUGGCCUCUCGCCUCAAGAUAGCCCAAGUGGGAUUAGCUAGUUGGUGAGGUAAUGGCUCACCAGGGCGACGAUCCCUAGCUGGUUUGAGAGGAUGAUCAGCCACACUGGAAUUGAGACACGGUCCAGACUCCUACGGGAGGCAGCAGUGGGGAAUAUUGCACAAUGGGCGCAAGCCUGAUGCAGCCAUGCCGCGUGUAUGAAGAAGGCCUUCGGGUUGUAAAGUACUUUCAGUCAUGAGGAAGGGUGUGUAGUUAAUAGCUGCACAUCUUGACGUUAGCAACAGAAGAAGCACCGGCUAACUCCGUGCCAGCAGCCGCGGUAAUACGGAGGGUGCGAGCGUUAAUCGGAAUUACUGGGCGUAAAGCGCAUGCAGGUGGUUCAUUAAGUCAGAUGUGAAAGCCCGGGGCUCAACCUCGGAACUGCAUUUGAAACUGGUGAACUAGAGUGCUGUAGAGGGGUGUAGAAUUUCAGGUGUAGCGGUGAAAUGCGUAGAGAUUUGAAGGAAUACCAGUGGCGAAGGCGGCCCCCCGGACAGACACUGACACUUAGAUGCGAAAGCGUGGGGAGCAAACCGGAUUAGAUACCCUGGUUGUUCCCGCCGUUAACGAAGUUUACUUGGAGGUUGUGGCCCUGAGCUGUGGCUUUCGGAGCUAACGCGUUAAGUAGACCGCCUGGGGAGUACGGUCGCAAGAUUAAAACUCAAAUGAAUUGACGGGGGCCCGCACAAGCGGUGGAGCAUGUGGUUUAAUUCGAUGCAACGCGAAGAACCUUACCUACUCUUGACAUCCAGAGAAGCCAGCGGAGACGCAGGUGUGCCUUCGGGAACUCUGAGACAGGUGCUGCAUGGCUGUCGUCAGCUCGUGUUGUGAAAUGUUGGGUUAAGUCCCGCAACGAGCGCAACCCUUAUCCUUGUUUGCCAGCGAGUAAUGUCGGGAACUCCAGGGAGACUGCCGGUGAUAAACCGGAGGAAGGUGGGGACGACGUCAAGUCAUCAUGGCCCUUACGAGUAGGGCUACACACGUGCUACAAUGGCGCAUACAGAGGGCAGCGAGCUAGCGAUAGUGAGCGAAUCCCAAAAAUGCGUCGUAGUCCGGAUUGGAGUCUGCAACUCGACUCCAUGAAGUCGGAAUCGCUAGUAAUCGUGAAUCAGAAUACCCCCGGAU
rnacentral:rRNA from 1 species